rnacentral:rRNA from 1 species
CCCUUAGAUGUUCUGGGCAGCACGCGCGCUACAAUGGUCUUCGCAAACGGAUGCAUUCUCGAAGGAGAAUGCCAAUCUUGGAAUCUAUGCCUUGGUCGGGACAGUUGCUUGCAAUUUUUCGACUCGAACCAGGAAUUCCUUGUAAUCGUGAUUCAUCACAUCACGAUGAAUACGUCCCUGCCCUUUGUACACACUGCCCGUCGCUCCUACCGAUUGAACGAUCCGGUGAAUUAUUUGGAGUAGCUCUGGAAGUUGCAGAACUUCCUAUGUCACGAAAUUUUGUAAACCUUAUCGUUUAGAGGAAGGAAAAGUCGUAACA